rnacentral:pre_miRNA from 1 species
AGUGGGAUAGCUGGGUCAAAUGGUGGUUCCAUUCUCUGUUUCCAAGCAUUCUCCAUACUGCUUUCCAUAUUGGCUGCACCAAUUUACAGUCCCACCAGCAAU